rnacentral:rRNA from 1 species
AUUCCUACGGGACGCAGCAGUAGGGAAUCUUUCACAAUGGGCGAAAGCCUGAUGGAGCAACGCCGCGUGCAGGAUGAAGGCCUUCGGGUUGUAAACUGCUUUUAUAAGCGAGAAAUAUGAUGGUAACUUAUGAAUAAGGAUCGGCUAACUACGUGCCAGCAGCCGCGGUAAUACGUAGGGGGCAAGCGUUAUCCGGAUUUACUGGGUGUAAAGGGAGCGUAGACGGCCGUUCAAGCCAGAUGUGAAAGCCCGGGGCUCAACCCCGGGACUGCAUUUGGAACUGUGCGGCUAGAGUGUCGGAGAGG